UACGGAGGGUGCGAGCGUUGUCCGGAAUCAUUGGGCGUAAAGGGCGCGUAGGUGGCUUCUUAAGCGUGCGGUGAAAGCCUGGGGCUCAACCCCGGGUCGGCCGUGCGAACUGGGGGGCUGGAGCACUGUAGAGGCAGGCGGAAUUCCGGGUGUAGCGGUGGAAUGCGUAGAGAUCCGGAGGAACACCAAAGGCGAAGGCAGUGUCCUGGGGAGUACCUGACGCUCAGGUGCGAAAGCCAGGGGGAGCCGGAACGGG
rnacentral:rRNA from 1 species